rnacentral:rRNA from 1 species
GACGAACGCUGGCGGCGUGCUUAACACAUGCAAGUCGAACGCUGAGGCUCAGCUUUCUGGGUGGGUGAGUGGGGAACGGGUGAGUAACACGUGAGUAACCUGCCCCCUUCUUUGUGAUAACGCCCGGAGACGGGUGCUAAUACUGGAUAUUCACUGUUCUUCGCAUGGGGGUUGGUGGGAAGGUUUUGGCUGUUGGGGGAUGGGGUCGCGGCCUAUCAGUUUGUUGGUGGGUUGAUGGCCUACCAAGGCUUUGACGGGUAGCCGGCGUGAGAGGUUGACCGGUAACAUUGGGACUGAGAUACGGCCCAGACUACGACGCGAGGCAGCAGUGGGGAAUAUUGGACAAUGGGUGAAAGAGUGAUGCAGCGACGGAGCGUGAGGGAUGGAGGCCGUCGGGUUGUAAACCUCUUUCGAUAAUGGUCAAGCCGUAACAUUGGUUGUGGUGAGGGUAGUGGGUAAAGAAGCGCCGGCUAACUACGUG